rnacentral:misc_RNA from 1 species
UCCCCGUUACCGAGGCGGUCUAAUUAGAAAAAUACAACUAAUCAUAAGGGUUGCGCUCGUUGAUGGACUUAACCAAACAUCUCACGACACGAGCUGACGACGGCCAUGCAUCACCUGUCACUUGGUUCCAAAAGGCACUUUCUGCUUUCGCAGAAAUUCCAAGGAUGUCAAGCCCUGGUAAGGUUCUUCGCUUAUCAUCGAAUUAAAGAACACGCUCCACCGCUUGUGCGGGUCCCCGUCAAUUCCUUUGAGUUUUAAUCUUGCGACCGUACUCCCCAGGCGGGAUGCUUAACGCGUUAGCUUCGCUACUAGAAGGGUCGAUACUCCUAACAGCUAGUAUCCAUCGUUUACGGCGUGGACUA